rnacentral:lncRNA from 1 species
CUGACAUACUCUCAUGGACCUUCCCAGGGUUACCAAGACUUCCAGCUAGAAGCAUUAAUUCCAUAUCUUUUUGUUCUUCAAGAAGGCAAAGGGGAUGAGGGAUGAGGGUGAAGUGAUUAAGGAACCACCUUGACUGCACCUUGACUUAGCAGAAAGCACUUCGUAGCAUAGCUCCCCUCUGAAGACAGGCUGGAACACUGCUCUUGCACAGGCUUUCCAGGGUCACAGGCUGGAGCCCCUGGCCAGGACAACUCAUUUGGUUCCUUCCGGGCACUGAAGCACCCCCGCUUUUAUUUUGUAUGCAUUAUUUCCCCCACGGUGUCCUGAGUCUCCCAGGCCAAUGGAUAACCCUAAGCAAUCUAGUCAAGGUUUCACUGAGUCUUGCUGGUUCACAUGGUCCUGCAUAACCCUAGGCUGUGUAGGUAGAGUGAAUUAACACUAGUAAUGAGGAGCUGGGGGACUCUACAUUCCCAUUUCCCACCCUUAACCCCCUCUUCAUCUCUAGGAGUUCCCUCCUCUGGAUUGGCUCUGCCUCUGGAUUGGAGCUAAGGUCGCAACUGAGCAUGAGCCAAAGUCCACCUGACCAGAGGACUCCGGGCUCUAAACAGGGUGCCUCCAUACCCCACAUGUUUAGAAGUAUAAAAUAUUGCCCCCAGUCUUUCCUCAACUCCUCUUACUGGGCGGCUUUAAAUAGAAACAGGCUUUCAGACCAGACCUCAUGUAAGGGGCUGGGUUCACCCCAAAGAGGGCCUGGGUGUGUGGAGGGCACUGACCUUGAAAAUUAUUCCCAAAACUCAUUUUCCUGGACAGAGUGAAACGAUAAAAAGGGGAAGAAUUACUGAGUGAGGAUCUGAGGAUGGUUUCUCCUCUUAUUUCUAAGACAACAGGAAAACAUGUCCAAAUGAAGGGGCUCCAUGUUCAUGUACAAAACAAUAGUGCAACCUGCGUUGCUGAACACUGACAGUGUCCCAAGGUCCUGUUAGCUGCUCUGAUGGCUCCUUCCCGAUUAGCCUUCUCUUGUCCUCCCCGGAGCUCAGCCCUCAAAACUUGUAGUUGGUUUUGACCCCUCGGGCCACAGUUCAAGCCAGUCAUGAAAUUCUGAUUGAUUCCACUUCCGUGACCCUCCUUGAAUCUGACCAUUUCUCCCCUUUUCUACUCCAAACUGGUGCUGGAGUCACCAUCUCCCUCCUCCCCACUUUUGCCCAUGCACCCUACACUCUUAUUUUUAAAUCACAGCCAGGGAUUUAAACAUGUAUGUAACACAUACAAGGUUCCCUUGUAAACCCUUCCAUCAAAACAUACUGAAAAUUAUUUGGAUUGCCUUCUGAUCUUUAGAAUGAUCCUACAGACUGUGCUGAAUCUGCC